rnacentral:rRNA from 1 species
GAUCAUGGCUCAGGAUAAACGCUGGCGGCGCGCCUAACACAUGCAAGUCGAACGGAGCUGAGAGGAGCUUGCUUUUCUUAGCUUAGUGGCGAACGGGUGAGUAACGCGUGAGUAACCUGCCCUGGAGUGGGGGACAACAGUUGGAAACGACUGCUAAUACCGCAUAAGCCCACGGUAUCGCAUGGUACUGAGGGAAAAGGAUUUAUUCGCUUCAGGAUGGACUCGCGUCCAAUUAGCUAGUUGG